rnacentral:tRNA from 1 species
GGGUUGUAGCUUAGUGGUAGAGUACUUGCCUAGCGUGUGUGAGGAACUGGGUUCAAUUCUCAGCCCCA